rnacentral:lncRNA from 1 species
GCUUUUCCUGCCCUUCCCACUGUCUCUAUCAUCUUCCAAGACCUACUUGUAGACCCAGGCAGACACCUGAAAAAACUCAACACCUCUACACCGAGGUGGAGGAAUGAAGGGUGUGGGCGAGUCGGGUCAGUGUUAUGAAGAGGCUGACCUGGGGCGGGUGAUCCCAUCUGGUGGGAAGGCAGGCAGGCUUCCUGCAGGGGUAAGAGUUGACUUGCCCCAGACGGAUGAAGUGAGUCACUCACUGGGGAAGCAAGGUUCACACUUCCUCCUUCCUUUGGGCUUUGAUCUCAUCUGCCUGGAGGGAGGCGCAGCCUGGAUUACUGGGGGCCACCAUCCUCCUCUCCCAGUUGUGUCCUGUGGGUUCAGACUGGGAGGGCGGCUGUCUGCACCCCCAACUCCUCCACAUACCCUUUCUGAGGCCCUGUUGCAGGUCCUUCUGGUUCUGCUGUGUGGGACACUGCCUCAGCAUGGCUUGAUGAGUGGUGCUAGGUCCGUGCCCAGGAUCCAAACCGGCGAAACCCUGGGCUGCAGAAGUGGAGCAUGCGAACUUAACCACUUGGCCACGGGGUUGGCCCUGUCUCCCACAUCUUGAUGUUCACUGCAGCUGCCUUUCAGCCAUGGAUAUGGUAACAGUUGCUAGCCCCAGAUGGAAAAAGGGUUUAAUAUAUCUAAGUAAGCCCUAAGAUCUGCUCCUAUAGACAUUCAAAUUUAUGUGACAAAGAUGUGCCUUGCAGCAUCAUUUGUAACAGAGAAAACCUGGAAACUCCACUGCACACCAUGGAAUUGCCAAAACAUCAGAUAAAACCACACCAACUGACUGCCUCCCUGUUAAUUUCUAUCCUUGGCUUUCAUUAUGACUUGUUUGUUUCUCAUCUAUAUCUGCCCCCUCACUAGAAUAUAAAUUCUUUGAAGGCAGGGACAUUGCUGGGUCCCUAACUUCUGAGUACACAGUAGGGGCUCAACAAAUAUUUGUUGAAUGAAUGAACCUAAACAUUUUGAGAUAGCAAGUGAAAAAGUAAGUUACAGUAUUGUAUGC